UACGUAGGGUGCGAGCGUUAAUCGGAAUUACUGGGCGUAAAGCGUGCGUAGGUGGUUUGUUAAGUCUGUUGUGAAAGCCCCGGGCUCAACCUGGGAAUGGCAAUGGAUACUGGCAAGCUAGAGUGCGGUAGAGGGUAGUGGAAUUCCCGGUGUAGCGGUGAAAUGCGUAGAGAUCGGGAGGAACACCAGUGGCGAAGGCGGCUACCUGGACCAGCACUGACACUGAGGCACGAAAGCGUGGGGAGCAAACAGG
rnacentral:rRNA from 1 species